ACAGAAACUGUUUUCUCUGGUUUACAGUCUGUAAGGAAUAUCCACUAUUAUGUUCCCAGCAAUCUGAUGGCCGUCAAUGCCUUGAUGAUAAACUGGAAAUCUUCACCUUCUUCUGUCCUCACCCCUCAAAUGACCCAUGAAAGAGUCUUGGAGAUCAAAGAAAUCUUCUUCCAUCCUUAUCCUUUGGACAGAAAAACUGAUGGGAUUUAGCACCCAUGUGGGAAUAUGAGCAUUGGUAACUGGGGAGUGGUAGGGGUGGAAAAUGGUUGGGGGAGGUGGUGGUGGAGGAGCUCAGAAGAUGAAUUACCUGGGGAGGAGGUACAUACUGAAUUGUGGUUUCCAUAACAAGUGUGAGAAGACAGAAGAGAAAUUACUUCCGCUGCCCCAAAUAAAGAUCAAGGAGUAUUUGCAUUCAAAGGGGUUGGGUUGUGCACAUACCUCUUCAGUCACCUUCUUUUAACUGGAAAUCCUCACUAAUUAAUUACUCUGUAAAUUCUGCUUCUGCACAUCAUAUAACUUGAAGGGCUUGCUUGUUUCACCAGUACUGACCGCAUGUGUUCCUUGCCCUUGUGUUUUGCUCUCCAAAGCCAAAUUAAAACUAUAAAGGAGUUAGAUGAGAAAA